GACGUAGGAUGCAAGCGUUGUCCGGAAUUAUUGGGCGUAAAGAGUUCGUAGGCGGUUAUCUAAAGUCUGGUGUUAAAGACGGGAGCUCAACUCCCGCAUGGCAUUGGAAACUGGGUGACUAGAGUGUGGUAGAGGUCUCGGGAAUUCCAGGUGUAGCGGUGAAAUGCGUAGAUAUCUGGAGGAACACCAGUGGCGAAAGCGCGAGACUGGGCCAUAACUGACGCUGAGGAAGCGAAAAGCCCAGGGUAGCAAAAGGG
rnacentral:rRNA from 1 species